rnacentral:snRNA from 1 species
CGGGGUACCCCGGUUAGC